rfam:Tumebacillus flagellatus strain GST4 Contig057, whole genome shotgun sequence.
GCUUGGUAGCGCGCACGCUUCGGGAGCGUGAGGUCCAGGGUUCGAAUCCCUGCAUUCCGA